ACGAUGGAGAGUUUGAUCCUGGCUCAGGAUGAACGCUAGCGGCAGGCCUAAUACAUGCAAGUCGAACGGUGCAGCAA
rnacentral:rRNA from 1 species